GUCACCCCGAUUAUUACAGCCC
rnacentral:siRNA from 1 species